GCCGUGUCUCGCAGUCGUGGACUCGUGCAGCUGGGGCGUCCGCAGCCGCUCGUCACCCGCGUGAUGCUGUUUCUGGCGUUGGGCAGCCCGUGGGCGGUCGAACUGCCUCUCUGCGGAAGGAGGACUGCAUUGUGUGCGGCCGCCGCGCUCCGAGGUCCCCGGGCCUCUGUCUCCCGGGCGUCCUCCAGCAGCGGGCCUUCGGGGCCGGUAGCCGGCUGGAGUACGGGGCCUUCGGGAGCCGCGCGCCUUCUCCGGCGUCCGGGUCGAGCGCAGAUCCCUGUUUAUUGGGAAGGAUAUGUUCGAUUCUUAAAUACGCCAUCUGACAAAUCAGAAGAUGGAAGGCUAAUUUAUACUGGCAAUAUGGCCCGAGCAGUGUUUGGUAAGUGUGAAAUGUUUCUCUUAUUCUACGAGUCUGAUUGGCCUUACAUUUCUGCCAUACAUUUUUACACAAAAUAAUGCUAUUUCUGAAAGUGUGCCUCUGCCUAUUCAAAUCAUAUUCUAUGGCAUCAUGGGAAGCUUUACGGUGAUCACCCCAGUGCUGCUUCACUUUAUUACAAAAGGCUAUGUCAUUCGAUUGUACCAUGAGGCCACAACAGACACUUAUAAAGCCAUUACCUACAAUGCUAUGCUUGCAGAAACGAGUACAGUGUUUCACCAGAAUGAUGUGAAGAUUCCAGAUGCUAAACAUGUAUUUACCACAUUUUAUGCUAAAACAAAAUCACUGUUAGUUAAUCCAGUGCUCUUUCCAAACCGUGAAGACUAUAUCCAUCUAAUGGGUUAUGACAAAGAAGAAUUUAUUUUGUAUAUGGAAGAAACCAGUGAAGAGAAACGGCAUAAAGAUGACAAAUGAGCCUAUUUGUUAGUGUUCGUGCUCAAAUGUGAUUUACGUUUUAAUGUAUAAUAAUAAAAUUGCCUUUUGCAUUCCGUUAGUGACUGAUUGUUAAAAAUAAUUUGAAAUUAUCAAAGCUUUUAAUUUCCAGAGAAUGAUGUUUGUUUAUAAUAAAACAAGCUAUGUUUG
rnacentral:lncRNA from 1 species